GAUGAAGAACGUAGCGAAAUGUGAUACUUGGUGUGAAUUGCAGAAUCCCGUGAACCAUCGAGUCUUUGAACGCAAGUUGCGCCCGAAGCCAUUAGGCCGAGGGCACGCCUGCCUGGGCGUCACACGUCGUUGCCCCCCCAUCUACUCCUUCGGGAUUGCGGGGGGCGGAUGAUGGCCUCCCGUGCGCCACGCCGCGCGGUUGGCAUAAAUGCCAAGUCCUCGGCGACGCACGCCACGACAAUCGGUGGUUGCGAAACCUCGGUUGCCCGUCGUGUGCGGUCGUCGCGCAUCGAGGGCUCGAAAAAAUUGCCGGGUUCCGGCUCGGCUUUCAACGCGACCCCAGGUCAGGCGGGGUUACCCGCUGAAUUUAAGCAUAUCAAUAAGCGGAGGA
rnacentral:misc_RNA from 1 species